rnacentral:rRNA from 1 species
GACGAACGCUGGCGGCGUGCUUAACACAUGCAAGUCGAACGGAAAGGCCCUGCUUUUGUGGGGUGCUCGAGUGGCGAACGGGUGAGUAACACGUGAGUAACCUGCCCUUGACUUUGGGAUAACUUCAGGAAACUGGGGCUAAUACCGGAUAGGAGCUCCUGCUGCAUGGUGGGGGUUGGAACGUUUCGGCGGUUGGGGAUGGACUCGCGGCUUAUCAGCUUGUUGGUGGGGGAGUGGCUUACCAAGGCUUUGACGGGUCGCCGGCCUGAGAGGGUGACCGGCCACAUUGGGACUGAGAUACGGCCCAGACUCCUACGGGAGGCAGCAGUGGGGAAUAUUGCACAAUGGGCGGAAGCCUGAUGCAGCAACGCCGCGUGCGGGAUGACGGCCUUCGGGUUGUAAACCGCUUUCGCCUGUGACGAAGCGUGAGUGACGGUAAUGGGUAAAGAAGCACCGGCUAACUACGUG